AGUGCCUCUCAGCCUUUUGGCUAAGAUCAAGUUUAGUAUCUGUUCUUAUCAGGGGGUGAGGUGCAUCUUAGCUAAAGGGUCCACCCAAUGUGGAUUCAACCACU
rnacentral:snRNA from 1 species